rnacentral:lncRNA from 1 species
GGCGUCAGCAGUCGCCCAACGGCAUUAAGGCUUAAUUUGGUAUUGAGAUGAAUCUAACGCUAUUAGAUAGAAUAGAGUUGAGAAAAAACAUAUAUAUAGGGAUAUGCUACUGCGUUCUCCGAUAGGACUGCAGAAAAUAUAUCAUAACCUACUAACUGCAAUAUACGGAACAUAAUAUUACGUACGGAAACAAACAUGGUAUUUUUUCAUCGUCGUUUCUCACUGCACGUAAUGCAAUGCCCCCGCAAUCCCAAACGAAACCUAAGUAAAUUGGAGUUAAAACAACCGAAUAGGGUAAUUACAUGCACUUUUGGUCCUCAAUCUCUGGGGCGUGUGAUAUUUUAGUUUUCGAAUUUUAAUAUGCUGUAAUUUCUGAUUCGAACCAUAAGGUGCAUUACACUUUAAUUUUAGAACUUUAAUUAAUUACAAUUUAUACUCGAACUAUAUAAGUAAUGUGAAGCUUUAGUUCUCGAACUUUUUGGAUUAUUAUAAUCAGGUUCCACAGCCUAAUUUUUUGAAUAAAUAUUGAUGAAUUAAUAAUAUCGAAAUGGUAUAGUAUUUUAAUUACUAUUGCUUCAUCAAGAAGUAUAUUACUACAAUUCAGAAAGUUCGAGAACUAAAAUCUUACAUAUUUCAUAGAUUGAAUAAAAAAUUAUGGCUAAUUAAGAUUGAAGAUUAAAGUGUCAUGUACCUUAUAGUUUGAUUUAAAAAUUAUAACUAAUUAAAAUUUAAAAACUAAAGUGUGUCAAGCGUCUUAUAGUUUUAGCUAAAAAACUUGAGAACUAAAAUAUUAUGUUCGUCAUUAUUUGAGGACCAAAAGUUUUAUUUACAUAGAAGCUCAAUUUUAUAUAUAUAGGAUAAGGCUAUUAUACUCUUAUGAGUAUAGAUUUUUUUGUACUCAUAAAUUUUUCGGCCAUUAGAUAAAAUAAUAUGCAGUGAGGAUGAUAGUAGUUCUCUAGGGUUGAACGGCCAGUUGGUUGAAUAGUAUGAUAAAAAAAAUGUGUUUAACGGCAAAAAAUUUUUGAGUAUAAAGAGAUUUAUACUCAUAAGAAUACAGUAGCCGAACUCUCUCUCUCUCUCUCUAUAUAUAUAUAUAUUAAUUUUUUUGUUUAAAAUUUAACCACUUUAAUGCACAUAAUAAUAAUAAUAAUAAUAAUAAUAAUAAUAAUAAUAUCUUUGCGGUAAUCCCAAUGGGAGCCUCCAGAGUCUUAGAAUUAGGUUGAUAUGGGAGAGAGAUUUCCUUUUUUUUUUAUGCACAGAAAUUUCACGCAUACACUAGCGGAUGGACUGGAGUAGAUUUUUCUAAUGCACGAGGUUGGACUGGACUGGAGUAGAUUUUUCUAAUGCACGAGGUUGGACCGAGAAAACCUGUCAAAAAUCACGCGGAUUACCACUCGAUCUCUAGUGCGCAUUUACGUUUCCAACUCGGAAUCCGUGAUUACAACAGCACAAUAAUUUACUACAUAUUAUUAUCAGCCUCUAGUGCGCACUUUAUAGCAGGAAUUGAAUCAGUACUAAAGAUAUAACAGCAUAAUAUUUAACCACUAGAUUAGGCCUUCUGCCUAAACAUGGUACGUAAUUAUUAUUAUUCAAAGCAAAAGUAUACAAAACAAAUAAAAUAAAACAAAAAUUUUGUCACAUAAGGAUAGCUCAUCUCAUUAUGCACGGGGCUAAUAAUAGAAAACUCCAAAUCUGAAUUUUUGAGUAGGGGUGCCGUUUUUUCUGGGCCCACAAGAUUAAUUUCUUCUCAAUCUGCACCAACUCGUGUCGUCUCCUUAUCGCCAACGUUAGCCAUCUUCUGCAUUAAUUGCUGAGUAAAAAGUUUGACUUCUUAUGGAUGGACAUGCAGGUACGGAGACGGAACUCCACGUCGACUAACAUCCAUCUUACACCGCCUUGAACAGGUUUUUGUUUUUGUGCUCAUUACGUAUCACAAUCACCUCUACAAGUCUUAUGCGUUCGUGUCGGACAUGCAUAUAUCCGAUAUAAAUACUCUUAGAACACUCGUUUAAUAUCGAUUCAUAAUAUAUACAAUUAAAAUAUAUAUAUAUAUAUAUAUAUAUAUAUAUUUAUUUAUUUAUUUAUUUUAUUUUUUUUUGCAUAUACAAUAUACGUUAAUAAAAUAUUUUAGUUUUUUUAUCAAUAUAUACAAUUUUUUUGACAAUAUAAAUAAAUUAUGUAUGAUGGAAAUUUUUUUUCUUAAAAUAUAUGAACUAUUAAUGAAAAUUUUACUAACUUUCAUUUAUAUGAAAAAUAUAAUAAUAUUUUAUCAAAAUUAAUAUUUUAUAUAUAAUAAAAAUAUAUUAUUAUAUUAAUAAUAUUGUAUUUUAUUAGCGGUGUUUAUGUCGUGUCCGUAUUUUAAUUUUUUAAAAGUUUCCAACUCAAGGUGUCCGAAUCGUGUUGUAUUUCGUAUUCUGUGUCAGUGUCCGUGACGUCUAAAUUUUCGUUUAAAUUUCACUAUUUUUUUUCUUUUUUUUUUUGUUUUGGUGGCUGGAGUGUCCGCAUGCGCACUGAUCAUCAUUCCAGUUUCUGCUGUAUUCCGAUAAUACAACAUCUUUUAUAUUUGAAGUUGCCGAAGUGUGUGACCGUUUUUCUCAUUCUCGCUGCUAUCGUACCAAUGGGUUUAAGCUGUUUGUCUCAUCAAAAUGUUUUCAGGGAUUAAGAGUUCAAAUUAACGAUCGAUAUAGUUAAAGUUAAUAUAAAAAAUUUAAAUGCCUGAAAAGUAAAUUUGUGGUUUUGAAAGUUUUUUAUAUCCUGAUGGAAAGAUGUUGGGUUUGAUUUUUUAUUAUUUUUUAUUCUAAUAAGUUAUUUGCUCAGUUAACUAACGGUGUAAAACAAUUCUAAUAUAUUAUUUUGUGAUAGAAUAUUUUUUUUUUCACCAUUUCUAUUUUGUUUGACAAUCCCGAUCUUUAAUUGAAAAGCUUUAAUCUCCAUUUACAUAACAUUAUUUGUUAGCAAUUGUUCAUUUUGUGGUCUUCAAAAGAUAAGAAUUUUUUUUAAAAAAAAAUCACACAAUUCAAUUCCUGAACACUUUAUUUGUUUUAGGUCAUGCUUGACGGUCUGAUUACUAAUUCAAAAUUUUUAUCUUUAAAAAUGGCGUAGGGGCCAUUUGGAACUGAGGCUUGUCCAGUACUAACCAGAAAGAUAGAGUUGGAAGAAAAUCACUUAAGGAUAUAUUUUUUUAUUUUUCAAUGAGAAGGUAAAAAAUAUAUUGUAAUCGAUUUUUUAUGAUACUGAUAUUUCAUAUAAAAGUAAAUAAAAUAUAUUUUUAUCGUUCUUUUAUAAUAUAAUUUUUUUGUAAUUUCAAAUGUCGAGACAAAUUGGUGUGGUUUUUCUGGGCCUAGAAGACCAAAUUAAAUAACAAAGGAGGAACGGAGAAACGGAUAAGAGGAAAACAUGCUGGCUAAUUAUUGUGGCGCCUCAAUUCUUGACUAGACUAGAAGGGACCCCAAAAGCAUUUGCCCUUUCAUUUUUUGGAUAGAUAGAAAUGGUGGGCUGAGCUUUUAAUUUCUUUUCAUAUUAUCAAACAAUUGAGCUAUAAAAAUUUGUCCUAUUAUAACAGGAUAAUAAUAGCUAUAAAAAUUUGUCCUAUUAUAAUAGGAUAAUGAUAGCUAGAUUCCACUUAUCUUUUCACCACCGCCUUCAAAUGCGAGAAAUUCUACACUGUCACGCUUACAUAACGUCAUCAAUAAUAAAUCAAUCAUAUUUUUUCUUUUUAAACAAAAGUACAAUAAAAAUAUUUUUUACAAUUAUGAUGAAACAUAUAUCCCUAAUUGGUUUUACGCCACGUCACUAAUAUACCCGUUGCAUUCUAUAAUUUUUCCUUCAGUGCACUCAUCAAUUAAUUAAUAACAAAAUAUAAAAAAUGCUAUAGGCACCUCAAAAUAUAUUUUGAAAUAUUAUUAACAUGUAAAUUUUACUUAAAAUUUUGAAAAUGAAACUAGGAUGCUAUUAAUUAUAUUUUUUAGGUUAAAAUCGUGGAAAUUUUAUCAAAAAAAGUACUUGAUUACAUCAUAUAUAAUUUUGGAAAUAACAUAAGCGCAUUUACAUACAAAGGAAGAGUAAAAACAUAAAUAUCUUCAAAACUAGAUAAAAGAUGAGAGUGAACAUUAACAAUUCCCAAACCUAAGAAAGAAAAGAAAAAAGAAAUAAAUAAAUAAUGAGCCGUCUUCGAAUCUGAAACAAAUAAAUCAAGCUCGUGACAAUGAAGUUCGUGACAGAAAAUAAAAUAUGAUAGAUGAAAGUAAUCAUUUAAUCUGUACGUACGCCCAUUCAAACUCAUGUCCCUCUAAUUAUACCAGAGCGUCUCUAUAUAUUUUCGAAUCUGUCAAUCUCUAGUAUGAAAAAUACUCAUGAGGUUUAUUGGGCCUGACAGAGUUAAAGAAGAUAGAAAAGAGCAGAACAAUAAGAAGAUGAGCUAGAUAAUUGUGCUACCAAGUUGUUUUCAAUGAUACGGUUUUCAAAUCGGCGAUCGGCUCCGUUACAUUUAAUCUACAUUAUUUAAAAUAUUUAAAAAUUAAAUUUCAUAAUUUUUUGACAUCGUUUACCUAUCAAACGAGUAGUCAAAAAACGAACGGCUGAAAAUAAAAAUUUCAUAAAAAAUAAUGAUAAAAAAUUUAAAUUUAAGACCAGAGAUACCGAUCUUACUCUAAAUAGUAAAAAAAAAAUUUAUAUAAAAAUUUUAUCAGAUUUGAAUUAUUUUACACUGUUAGAUUCACAUAUGCAUCACAUCGUUCAUUAAAAUUAUCAAUUUUGAGACAUUUUGAUCACUAGCCAAAUGAUAUUGAAAAAUUAUGAAAUUUAGUUUUCAAAUACUUUUAAUAUUGUAGAGCAAGUUUAAUAAAGCCGAUCGUCGAUUUGGAAGCCGCAUCAUUGAAAACAACUUGGUAGCACGAAAGCCUCCGUGUUACCGGUCUAACUUCAUAUAUAUAUAUAUAUAUAUAAUAAUAUAUAUUAUAUAUAUAUAAUUAUAUAUAUAAUAUAUAUAUAAUAUAAAUAUAUUAGUCUGGGUUGUUACUAGGAGUCCCAGCGGAGCCCUCCGUGCUCUUAAGUCGUUUUUGAUGAUAGAAUUUUCGAAUCGACGAUCGGCUCAGUUAGACUUAAUCUAGCUAACAUAUUUGAAAUAUCCAAAAAAUAAAUUUUGCGAUUUUUCGAUAUCAUUUAGCUAGCGAUCAAAAGGAUUCAAAAUCAACAAUUUUUAAUGAUUGAUGUAUACCAUUUGCAAGUUUAACGAUGUAGAAGUUUUCAAAUCAGAUAAAAUUUUGAUAGAAAAUUUGAUAAAAGUCCCUCCUGAGCUUCAGUAAUCAUAUAAAAUAAAAUUUAAAAAAAAGACAAAAGUAGAAAUAUGACCAACAUGAAACCUAGCUAGAGUGUGCUUAAUGAAUAAAGCAAAUAGCUUGCUACCUCUUUUUCAAAAAAAAAAAAAAAAAAAAAAAAAAAAAAAAAUAAAAAAAAAAACCUAGCUAGAGUGCAUAUUUUACACCUAUCCUAUAAGGUAUGUACAUGUACAUAGCAUUGCUCAUUUAUAUUGGUCUGUGCAAAGUGUAGUUUUGUGUAAUAAAUGUGGGUUGAAUAACAUCAGUAACUCAUCAAUCUACGUAAUAAAAUUUUUACACCAUCUAAAUAACUAUUUUGUGCCGCCAACAAUACUCCUCCAUAAUAAAUAAAUGAAAGGAGAAGCUAAAAUGAGGCAUGCGGAUACCACAAAUAAAUAGCAUAUGCAUGAACUCCUUUUGAGUCCGUACCUAACGGAGAGCACUCCAAAUUAAGUUUCUAUGGCUCUUCCUAACAUGAUUGCCUCCCUGCCUUUUGUUGUUCUCCUACUGCUCCCUCUUCUACUCCUCACAAGAAGAAAGGGGAGCAGCACAUCACUAAAACUUCCCCCGGCCCCUCCCAAGCUCCCAUUCAUCGGCAACCUCCAUCAGCUUGGAAUACUCCCCCACCGCUCCCUCUCUCGGCUCUCGCAGCGAUACGGCCCCCUCAUGUACCUAAAACUUGGCUGCAGGCCGACCGUCGUGGUGUCCUCUGCCGACAUGGCCCGGGAGAUCCUAAAGACGCACGAUCUGGAGUCCUGCAGCCGACCGUCCCUCACCUCGUAUACGAAGCUCUCCUACGGUGGCUCGGACAUCGGCCUUGCAGCAUACGGAGAGCAGUGGAGAGAGCUCCGAAGGAUUUGUAUCAUCGAACUUUUCAGUGCCAAGAAGGUCGCCUCGUUUCGAUCCAUUCGAGAAGAAGAGGUGGAAAGAACUAUGAGCUUCAUAUCCGACUGCUCAACCAGUUAUCUCCCUGUCGAUUUGAGCAAAGAACUGCUAGCGCUUACGAGCACUAUCACUUGUAGAAUGGCUUUUGGAAGGAGCUACCAUGAUGUUGGAAGCAGGUUUCAGGCAAUUCUGAACGAAACACAAACUAUACUCGCAAGCCUUUUCAUCGCGGACUACUUGCCGAUCAUCGGAUGGGCCGAUUGGCUCACAGGGAUGAGAGCGAGGCUCGAGAAGAACUUUAUCGAUCUUGAUCGGUUCUACCAGAAAGUCAUUGACGAGCAUCUCGAUACAAUGCGGCAGCAACGUGACUCUAGCGAAGACUUUGUGCAUAUGUUACUGCGCAUGCAAAAGAACGAGAAUAGUCUAACCACAGACCAGAUCAAAGGAGUCCUUAUGGUCAGUAAAAUGUUCGAUGCCGAAUCACAUAAAACAUUUUCCUAUAUUGUUCUACACGAGUGAGUUUACUCUUUUUUGCAGAAUGUUUUCAUUGGUGGGAGCGAUACGUCCUCAGCCACCGUGGAGUGGGCGAUGACGGAGCUAAUGAGGCACCCGCAAGCGAUGAAAAAAGCUCAAGAAGAGGUAAGAAGCCUCGUCGGGGGGAAAGGGAAGGUAGAGGAGAAGGACAUCGACCAACUGCGCUACCUCAAGUGCGUUGUGAAGGAGACCUUGCGGUUGCACCCGGUGGCUCCCAUGCUGAUCCCAAGAACAACGUUGCAGCAUUUCAAAAUCGAUGGCUAUGAUGUCCCGCCCAAUACGAUGAUGUACAUCAAUGCUUGGGCGAUCGGAAGGGACGGGAGCUACUGGGAAUGGCCGGAGUCGUUCAAGCCGGAGAGGUUCAUUAAUAGCUCGGAUCUCGAGUUCGCAGGUAAGGACUACAAUUUGAUACCAUUUGGGGAAGGUCGCAGGAUCUGUCCAGGAAAGAACCUCGGGAUAAAAACGGUGGAGAUCAUGCUUGCCAACCUUCUUUACUCCUUCGACUGGGAACUUCCAACGGGUAUGACGAAGGAGGAUAUCAACAUGGAUGAGGCGCCGGGCAUUGCUGUGCACAAAAGACAUGCUCUCCACCUUCUCGCCACCAGACAUAUAUAGCGGCAUCUAUAGCUAGUUAGCUACUAUACUAUAGAUAAUAUAAAAUUAGUAUUUACAAUAAAUAUUUUAGCCCUUGGAUGUCUAGAGUUGUCUAUUUGGGAGUUCUAUUAGUAUGGAUCUAAGAGCCAAAAGAUCUGUAAGAAUAACUAUUUCUCUACUAUAUAUCUAAAAUAUAGUAGCUUAACCGAGUGUGUGUAUAUAUAUAAUGCCUCUCACUGAGAUGUACUCUUAUUUAUCUAUCAUUGUACAUCUAUCUAUCAUUUUUCUAUCUACCUAUAUCAAUUACGUAUCUUACUAGCUAUCUUAAUUGUACAAUAUGCAAAUCAUAUGUAUGUACAAGCUUGAUCUCACACCUUCUCAGGCGUACAAAAACUAAUUUAUCAAUAUUUAAAAAUAGGGUAGAAUCACAUAUUCUACGUUAUUAUGUUAAGACAAUUUGCUACAGCAGUGUUUAAGAAAAAUCGAGGAAGUAUUUGGCUGUUGAUACUUCCGAUUGAAUAUUAGUAUACUAAUUAAAUAAAGAUUCCUUCAAUUAUCAAGGGUUUAAAAUGUUUGGAGCAUUUAAACGUGAGGCCGUUGUUUUGAUGCAUUCAUCUAGGAUUUACUGGCUCAAAUAAAAAAAGACGGGCCGAGCUGGAGCACGGCCACGGACAGGCUUAGUCCGUCCAUUAUUACACUACCUAUUGUUGGGCUGCGGCCGUUGAGCCCGUCGGCCCGAGGCUCGACACGGCACGAACUCAAGGCCUUUGCCUCAGACCUUGGGGUAUUAGUUCCUCCCUAGACGCUCUCCUUCCGAAGUCUGCCAAUAAAGACCUUGGGAAGAAUGGGUUGGUCCCUAUUGGAUCAAAACCUCGCAAUUGGUCAGCUUUUUUAAAAAAAUUAAAAAUUAAAAAUAAAAAAUAUAAUUUUUUAAAAAAUAAAAUAUUCACUAUUUUAUAAAUUUUUUUCUAAAUUUCAAUUGCUUUGAUCAAAAUAUAAAUUUAAAUAGGAGUAAUUUAAUUUUUUUAAUUUUUAUUUAAAAAAAAUAAUAAUAAUAAGAGACCGGUCAGCCUGAUUUGACAUGGCCAGUGACUUUCAGACCAGAGGGCCGUGCUAGGCCAGAGGCUUGGAAGAUCGACCCUGCACGACUUGGCCAGGAUUUGAAAGUCGAACCAACUCCUAGCUAGCUUAUUUUGAUCUGAAUAAGGAGGUGUUCGGCUUAGCUUUUAAAAAGCUCUUUUGGGUUGAAAAGUGAUUUUCGGCCCAAUAGAGCGUUUGGCAAAUUUAUUUUUAAAAUCUGAUUCUGCUUCUCAGAAUCAGAAAACUGAUUUUGAAGGCCCAGAAUCAGAAGCUGAAAAAAGCUGCUUCUUGAAAACUGAUUCUAAUUUUGGACUCAAAUAUUAAAUUUUUAUUUUUAUUUUAAAUUCAAUGUUUAAAUUAAAAUUUAAUUAGUUUUUUGUGCAUAAACGUUAUAUAGUUUUUACAUUGAUUUUAAUAUCAAACUUUAGUACUAUAUUUAUAAUUCGAUAAGCGAUCAAUUUUAUAUUUAAAAAUAUUCAAAAUAUGAUGGUGGACUUUUAAUUCUAACAAAUAAGUAUUCUAGAAUUUAUUAAAUAGUUUAAUAUAUUCUUUUUUGAAAUGAAAUUAUUAAUUGAAUAAAAUCGAUGGACGCUCAAUUCUAUCUUUGUCUGGAAUAAAAUUAAAAUAUAAAAAAAAAAAUUACGCUUUUGAUCCUCAAACUAUAAGGCAAGUGGCAUUUUAGUCCUCAAAUUUUAAUGAGUUAUAUUUUCUUGCUCAAACUAUGAGGCAUAUAAAGCUUUAGUUUCUAAAUUUUAAUUAGCUGCAAUUUUAGACUCGAACUAUGAAAUAUAUAAUAUUUUAAUCUUCAAUUUUCACUGUUAUUAUAAAUAUAAUUUAUUAUUUUUAUAAUUUUUUAAUUUUUUAUCAUUCAUAUAUUUUAUUAUAAAUAUGUAGAUCGAAGGAUUUGGAGAUUUUUUUUUUUUUAUAUGAAUCCCAUCUAAUUCUUCUCGUUUAUUAUAAAAAAUUUAAAUAUAUAUUUUUUAUGAAUAAUUUUGAAAUAAUUUUAACUAUAUGUAUUAAAUAUAAAUUUUAAUUUUAUAAUAUUGAUCACUUAGAUAUAAAUCGUAUAAUAAAAAAUAAAAAAAAUUGAUAGAGUUUAAAUUAUUUAUUUAUUUUAACAAAUUUAGUUGUGAGAAUCAUAUGAAUUAUAUUAACUAAAUUUAUAAAGCUAAACGACGCAUUUAAAUUUUAAAGUCAAAGUAUUAUUGACUGGCUCAUAUUUAAUAUAUAAAAAAGUUGGAUAGUAAAAAUAAAAUUUUGAAAGCUUGAAUAGCUAAUUUAAAAUAAUUCAUAGUUCAGAAAUACUUUGUAUAUUUUAACUUUAAUUUUAAUAUCAAUCUUCGAUGCCAUAUUUAUAGUUUAAUGAGUGAUUAAUUUCACAUUUAAAAUUUUUUGAAAUAUUCAAAAUAUGAUUGGUCGACUUUUAAUUUUAACAAUUCGGCAUUCUAAAAUUUAUUCGAUAAUUUAACAUUCUUUCCUCAUAUGACUUCGUUUGGAAUAAAAAUAAAACAUAAAAAGAUAAAUUACACUUUUGGUCAUCAAACUAUAAGAUGCGUGAAACUUUAGGCCUCAAAGUUUCAUGUAUUACACAAUUUCUUGCACAAACUAUAAGGCACGUAAUGUUUUAGUCCUUAAACUUUAAUUAGUUGUAAUUCUUGGUUCUAAUUAUAAGGCAUAUAAUAUUUUAAUUCUCUACUCUUACUGCUGCUAUAAAUAUAAUUUAUUAUUCUUAUAAUUUUUUUCUUAUUUAUUUUAUACUUCUUAUAUUUUUAUUCUUAUAGUUUUACUAUAACAGCUGUUGUGUCUUCUUCAACUUCUUUUAUUUAUAUUUUAUUUUUAUUCUUUAACUCUUUUUUUAUUUCUUUCGUUGUUUCUUUUUUUUAGCUUUAUUUUUUUUUGUAAAAUUUUUUAUCUUUAUUUAUUUAUUUAUUUUUGUGGAAUCGAUUCGCUGCAACGCGCGGACACCUUCACUAGUAGUAUAAUUAAGUCUUACAAAAAAAAUGAUUGCAGCACAUCGUAUGUGAUAACUAGAGUGAGGCUGAUAUAUAUGCUUUUGGAAAUUCGGAACCCUCCGUACUUUCAAGUCGUUUUCGAUGUUGGAAUUUUCGAAUCGACGAUCGACUCCGUUAGACUUGAUUUAGAGUAUUUAAAGUAGCUAGAAAAAAAAUUUUGUGAUUUUUCGAUAUCAUUUUCCUAAUAAUCGAACGGGCUCAAAAUCAAUAAUUUUAAUGGCCGUGGUGAGUCGUUUGCAAAUUUAAUGGUGUAAAUAUUCAAAUCACGUAAAAUUUUGAUAGAAAUUUUUUUAUACUAUAUAAAACAAAAACAAUUUCUGAUCUAAAAUUUCAAAGCCAUAUCAUCACAUUUUGUAAAAUUUUUAUUUUCAGCCGUUGAUUUUGAGCCCCUUCAAUUACUAGGCAAAUGAUAUUGAAAAAUCGUAAAAUUUAUUUUCUAUAUAUUUCAAAUACUCUAAGAGCAUGUUUGGUUCACCUAUUUUAGAUUAUGGAAUCGGAAUGGAAUUCAUUGAUUCCGAUAGUUGCCGUUUGUUUUAUAGAAAUCGGAUUCCAAUUCCCAUUCCACUCCGGAAUGGAAAUGGCCAAAUCUAUUUAUAAUCCAAUUCGGUUUUAAAUUCCGGAUUGGCUCAUUCCAAAGUAAACUAUUUAAAAUUUUCUUUCAUCAACACCUACCUCCUCUCCCUUCAUCACUUUUCUCUCUCUUAAUCAAAAUCCUCUUUCAAAAAUUUUAAAUUUUCAUUUCGAUUUCCAUUCCAAUAAUGAACCAAACAUUUUUGGAUGAUUCGUCAUUUCAUUUCCUAUUCCAAAACAAUCCAAUUUUAUUUUUCAUUUCUAUUUCAAUCAUGAACAAAACAUGCCCUAAAUUCAAUCUAACGGAAUCAAUUGUAAAUUUAAAAAUCUCACCAUCAAAACGACUUAAUGGUACAUAAUAAAAACGAUUUGAUAGUACGGAGAUGUACGGGUGUGAUUUAAUUCUUUUCUGGGGCCCACUAGAUUUAACCUAGUGUGUGCCAGUUUCAACAUGCGUCCUCAUUUCUCCAUCCACUACGUAGCAAUUGCUAUCUUCUAUAUUCAGCGCGUGAGACUGUGAGAGCAACUGCAUAAAAGGAGUCAGAUACGUAUACAAGUGUCCCUGAUUUGAUAUACUGUACCAAUAUUCUAAAAAUAUAGGUAGACAAAAAAAAAAGUGUAUGUUCUGCCCAUUUAACUUCGAGUCCGAUACGAAUGAGUAUUUAAAUUAUUAAUAUAUUUAUCGGAUCUAUUUGAACAGAUUUGAAUAGUAAAUAUUUGUUUACUAUCCGCUUAAAAUUAGGUACGUAUCGGAUACGUGUUAAAUCUAGAUCAAAUAUAUGUACCCGCAUGCGUAUUUUUUUUUAUAGACUAUUAAAUAAUUUUUGAAAAAAUCAUAAACUUUUUAUUAUAGAAAACUCGCAUUCUAAUGAGUUGCACCCAGGUAGAGAGAUCGGAGAGGUAAAGAGAGCGGCUAGAGUUUGAUUUUUUUUCUUUUUUUACUUUGUUCCUUAAUUCCAGCAAUAAAUAGAGAUUUCUAUUUAGAGAGAAAGAUUCAAACAGUAAUCAAAAGUGGUUAGAACUAAAAAAAAUAAGAAGUAAAAAAAAAAAAAUUUAAAAAAGAAUAAGCAUAACGGCUAGGUUUCACUGAGAUGAAAAUGCACAAAUACCCUUUAUCUAUAAGUUCUAUAAAAAUUAAUCCCUCAACUUUAAAUUUUUUUUAUUUACUAUUGCAUAUUUCACUCCGAAUCAGAGUUCGGAUUUAAAAACUAUUCCGGACCGGUCGGAUCCAAGUCCGACCCAAAAUUUUCAUGAAUUUUUUUAUCCAUAUAUUAUUUAAAUAACAAAAACGUGAAUAAUUUAGGCCUCCUCUAAUAUCUUCUUAAUUUUUUUUAAUAUUAAUUUUAUAUAACUAAUAUAUUGAUAGAAAGAUUCUUUUUUUCCUUCGUAUUUUUAUAAUUGAUUAACUUGGAUAUAAACAAAACAUCCUAAACAUAAUAUCCGUAGGCAAGAACCACAAAAAUAUAGGAGCCUUAUCCAUAUGGAAAUGAUUUUGCAACCAACUUUUAUUAAUAGAUUCAACUAUAGUAUAUAAAUACAAGGAUAAAUCAAAACAUGUAGCCUUUAUGAGUAGGGCACAGAAUUACGACGUGUAGAGCAUGAACAAAAUUUUAUGGGCCCCAGACAAUUUUACAUUUUUAUGGGCCCCAAACAAUUUUAUUUGGGGAUUGCUCGGAUGGGCGCUGUGUGGCGGGUGGCGCUCAUCCGAGCCACCCAGCAAAAAUAGUUGAAGAGAGUCUCCACGCCAGUUGAAGGGGUCUCCAUGUCAUUUUAACACAGCAAAGGGUCGAAUGGGAGGAAUUCUACAUUGUCACACUUGCACCACGUCAUCAAUAACAAGCCAAUCACAUUCAUCCUUUUCAAACAAAAGUACAAUAAAAAUACUUUUUUACAAUCAUAAUGGGACAUAUAUUCUUAAAAGGAUUAAUUUGAUUGGUUUGUUACGCCACGUCACUAAUAUACCCGUUGCAUUCUAGAAUUUUUCGUCGAAUGGGCACCGCUCUCCGCACGGCGCCCAUCCGAGCAAUCUUCAAACCUGUUUGAGCAUUAUGUUCAUAAAAUUUUUAUGCGUACAGCACAAAUUGGGUUAUCUUGAUGCCUACCCUGCUACACAUGAGUUUUUAUGUGGGCUAGAGUAUCCGCCAUAUAACAAUCGUACUAGUGAAAUACUCACGCGAUGCUGCAGAUAUAAAAAUAUUUUUAUAAUAAAUUUUAUUUUUUUAAUAUGUUUAUAUAGUUUUAUAAGUCUAAUUAUUAAUAAAAUAAAAAUUAUAAAAAAUAAUUUAAUCGUUAAAUCUAUUUAAAUAAAAGUCGAUAAAAUCGGUAUAUGUGCAAAGUAAAUUUAUACAAUAAUUUAUUUUAUAAAUAUUUAUAUGAAAAUAAUUUGAGAUAAAUCUAUCAAAAUAAUUAAAAAAAUCAAUAAAUAGAAGAAAAAUAAAAAUGUAAAAGAAAUUGUUUAAUAACAUUAAUUAUAUAUACAUAGAAAUACAUUAUAUUUCGAAAAUUUUACUUCUAAAAUUUAAAUGCUCUAAUUUUUUUAUACAACGAUAUUUUACUUGAUUUAAAUUGUAUCUAUUUGGUUAGAUUUUAUUACGCAAUUUAUUAUGCGUAUUAUUAAUAAAAUUAAUUAACUAUAUUCAUAGAAUUUAGAGAUUUAAAAUUUAAAUUAAUUUCAUAGAGUUUAGAUAUUUAAAAUUUUAAAUUUUAAAUUUUAAAAUUUGAAAAUAAAUAUUAUAAAUGAAAUAUAAAAUAUAAAAUUUGAAAAUUUGGAAGUAUCAAAAUUUUAAAUUUUGAUGUCAAUAUAUAUAUAUAUAUAUAGAACUAGACUACUAUCCUAUUAAUAGCAUCAAGUCAUUUGUGCUACCAAGUUUUUGGUCAUUGGAUUAAGAGACGUACGAUUAGGAUGAUGUGGGCCCCAUACCCGACCCAAUUCCACCCGCUACCAGGGAUCAUAAGUGCGCUUACUGGUGGUGCGCUUGUACGGAUACACCGGGUGCACGUAUUAAUUUCCCUCUCGAGCAAGAGACCCCGUAGACGAGGGUUCUGGGGAGAGGUUUUAUCUCCUCGGCGCGAAGAAUCGCGGGGCACGACUCUGUUAUAUCCCCGGACAAUCCGCAACCACCGAUGAUGAAAUUGCUCUGAGGUCGGAUGGCGGUAAGGAUGAUGGGUGCUUCCGGCAGCGACGCCCGAGGUAAAAGAAAUGUAAGUNUAUAUAUAUAUAUAUAUAUAUAGAGAGAGAGAGAGAGAGAGAGAGAGAGAGAGAGAGAGAGAGAGAGAGAGAGAGCGUGUGUGCUAUUAGGAGCAGGAGGCCUCCGUGCUUCUAAGCCGUUUUUGAUGAUGGAGCUUUCGAAUCGACGAUCAACUUCGUUAGACUUGAUCUAGCAUAUUUGAAGUAUCUAGAAAAUAAAUUUUGUAACUUUUCGAUAUCAUUUACCUAACGAUCGAAAGCGUUGAAAAUCAACGAUUGAAAAUAAAAAUCUCACAAAAAGUUGUGAUAUAGUAUUAAAAUUUUCGAUCAAACAUAUUGAUCUUGCUGUAAAUAGUAUAAAGAAUUUUCUAUCAAGAUUUCAUCUGAUUUGAAUAUUUCUACAUCGUUAUACUUGCAAACGGUAUACAUCAACCAUUAAAAAUUGUUGAUUUUGAAUUCUUUCGAUCACUAGGAAAAUGAUACCGAAAAAUCACAAAAAUUAUUUUCUAAAUAGUUCAAAUACGCUAGAUCAAGUCUAACGGUGCCGAUCGUUGAUUCGAAUGCUCUAUCAUGGAAAACGGCUUAGGAGCACGAAGGCCUCCGUGCUCCUAAUAGCACACAAGACCUACUAUAUAUAUAUAUAUAUAUAUAUAUAUAUAUAUAUAUAUAUAUAUAGAGUCCGGCUACUAUACUCUUAUGAAUACGAUUGCCCUCAUACUCAUAAGUUGUUUUUGAUGAUAGAACUUUCGAAUCGACGAUCCAUACCGUUAAACAUUAUCUAGAGGAUUUAAAACUUCUGGAAAUCAAAUUUUAUAAUUUUUCGACAUCAUUUACCUUACGAUCAAAAUCUCACAAAAUUAAUAAUUUUUAGCAGCUGAUAUGGGAUAGUUGCUAGUUUAACGGUGUAAAAGAAUUAGAAUAUGUUGAAUUUUUUAUAGAAAAUUCUAUUCACUACCUAGAUAAAGAUUAAUAACUCCGAUCUUAAAUUAAAGAAUCCGAUCAUCCAUUUUUAGGACGUCGUUUGAUUUUGACCAUUCAUUUUAUGUCCGUUUGAUGGGCUUUAUUAUGAUUUCGAAAAAUUACGAAAUUUAUUUUUUAGAAGUUUCAAAUACUCUAGAUCAUAUUUAACGGAGUGGAUCGUCGAUUUGGAAGCCCCAUCAUCGAAAACAACUUAUGAGUACGAAGGGUCCAAUACUCAUAAGAGUAUAGUAGCCCUAAUAUAUAUAUAUAUAUAUAUAUAUAUAUAUAUAUAUAUAUUAAAGUAGAACCCUUAGUGUAAGAUUAACAUGUGUCUUUCUAUAUACUUGUCACGUGUCAAGCUCAAAUAUAGAAUAACAAUUUUAUUAGAAACACUAUUAAAUCAAAUUAUACCAAUUAAUUAUAAUUAUAUAUACAAUCAAAUCAAAUUAAAUCAAAUAAAGGUUUAUCAUGCAUCUUUCUAUAUGGUUGCCGCUUGUCAAACUCAAAUAUAGCAAUUAGAUGGUUAAAAAUAAAAUUUUAUUAGAAAACAAUAUUAAAUCAAAUUAAAUAUAAUUAUAUAUACAAUUAACAAAAAAUUUAUUAGGAAACACUAUUAAACACUAUUAUUAUAAUUAUACUCAAAUAUAUAUAGAAUAAAAAUUUUAUUAGAAAACACUAUUAAAUCAGAUUAAAUCAAAUUAUACCAAUUAAAUAUAAUCUAUUCUAUUUACUACAUACUAAAGUAGAACCCUUGGUAUAAAAUUGACAUGUGUCUUUCUAUAUGUUUGCCACGUGUCAAACUUAAAUAUAGAAUAAUAAUUUUAUUAGAAAAUACUAUUAAAUCAAAUUAACAAAUUACACCAAUNCUAAAAUUUUAUUACAAAACAAUAUUAAAUUAAAUCAAAUCAAAUUAUACCAAUUAAAUAUAAUUAUAUAUACAAUUAAAGAGAAUUUUAUUAGGAAACACUAUUAAACACUAUUAAAUUAAAUUAUAAUUAUAUAUACAAUUAACUAGAAUUUUAUUAGGAAACACUAUUAAACACUAUUAAGGCUUAGUUUGGCAUUGAGACCUAUCUAACGGUAUUAGAUAGAAUAGAGUUGAGGAAAAAGCAUAUAGGGAUAUGCUUCUGCGUUCUCCAGUGGGACCGCAGAAAAUAUGUUGUAACCGACUCAUCGCGAUAUGCGGAACGCAAUAUUAGUUACGGAAACAAAUAGGGUAUUUUUCCAACGUAUUUUCUCACCGCACGUAACGCAAUUUCCUCAAAAUCCCAAACGAAGCCUAAAUCAAAUUAUAAUUAUAUAUACAAUUAAAUUAAAUUAAAUCAAAUUAAAUAUUUAUCAUGCAUCUUUCUAUAUAUUUGCCAUAUGUCAAACUCAAAUAUAGCAAUUAGAUGGUUAAAAAUAAAAUUAUAUUAAACACUAUUAAAUCAAAUUAAAACAAAUUAUACUAAUUAAAUAUAAUUAUAUAUACAAUUAACUAGAAUUUUAUUAGGAAAUACUAUUAAACACUAUUAAAUCAAAUUAUAAUUAUAUAUACAAUUAAAUCAAAUUAAAUGUUUAUUUCAAAAAUUAUAAUUUUUCAAUAAUUCAACUCUAUCAUUUUAUUUUUUAAAUAAAUUUAGAUUUUUUUCUAAAAAAUUUUACUAAUAUUAUGAUAUUUAUUAUUUUACUUAUUUAACAAAUUAUCUAUAUUGCUAUUGGAGCAGAUACUUUUCAUCUUCAUGCAACAAAAUUUUUUUUUUCCUUCAUAUUUUCUUGAAGAUCAACAUCUAUAUUUAUUUGAAUCUUGAAAGUUGGUAUAUUUCUUAUAUAUAUACGUGUGCUUACUUUAAUUUGUGUUAAACAUGAAAGUUUAGUUGAUCUCAUUAUAUGCUUAAAUAUUAAUGUCGUUUGUAAUUUUUCAUAUCAAUUUGAGUUUUCAUUUUGUUUUGCACAUCAAUAUGUAAAUAUAAAUUAUUUCGCAGACUAAUUCAUAGAUAAUAGAGUAUGGUUGAAUUUUGUUCUUUACUUUGGUCCAUAAUGUAGAUAAAUAG